rnacentral:rRNA from 1 species
AAUGGGCGCAAGCCUGACCCAGCAACGCCGCGUGAGGGAUGAAGGCCUUCGGGUUGUAAACCCCUUUUYUUWAGGGAAGAAAAAAAUGACGGUACCUGGGGAUAAGUUUCGGCUAACUACGUGCCAGCAGCCGCGGUAAUACGUAGGAGGCAAGCGUUAUCCGGAUUUAUUGGGCGUAAAGAGAGCGUAGGCGGUUUUUCAAGUUGGAUGUGAAAUUUCCCGGCUUAACCGGGAGGGGUCAUUCGAUACUGUUGGGCUAGAGUGCAGCAGGGGAAAACGGAAUUCCCGGUGGAGUGGWAAWAUACGUAGAUAYUGGGAGGAAACCAGAGGCCGGCGCGGUUUCCUAGGUUGUYGCUGACRCUGAGGCU